rnacentral:lncRNA from 1 species
CAUUUUCAUAUACUGAUGGUCUCAUUCAUUGACAAGUGACUCAAUCAAUGUGGAACCUCAACCAGGUGAAUAUACUUGGUCUUCGAAUUCUAAUGGAAUAAGGAGCGAUGCUACCUUUUACAAAAGGCCUUGCAGAUAGCUGGGGCAAUAACAGGGAACGCAGUGAAAUCACUGACAUGUGACUCCAACCCUGAGCUUGCUCUUGGUGGGUCUGGGGCCUCCCAGGGAAUCGGAGGUGCCGUGGUCUCUUUUCUCCAGAUACUCUGUGUCCUUGCAAGAACUUGUCCAGGUGGGAUCCGUGCCAGCUCCUCGAGGCCCGUCCUGGAGCUGCGGGGGUGACCCAGUGAGGCUGAGUUCACGCAGGCCCGCAGACUUCUGCAAAUCUUUUCCCACCUCUAUGCCGCAGCACAGGCAAUUGGGAAGCAAGAUUUGGACUUUGUGAAGAAGGAGGCGGCGGAGGAAGAGGAGGAAAAGGAGAGGAGGAGGAAGAAGAAGGGGAAGAGGAAGAAAAAUGGCCGACGUUUAUUGAUUGUUACUACUUGCCAAACUCUCUUCCUUAUGCAACCCCUACAACUAUUCAUGAGAGCAGUGAAAGAAAGACCUCAUCGAGGCAUUUAAAGUGACAUCACCAUGCCAAUCCCAACUCAUUGCAACCAGUGAGAAGCAACUGCUAGACCAGAUUAAGUACAAUGAAGGUAAAUCUUGGUGACAACUCUUGCAGCUGUUUAAAGCUGGUGCUAAUUGUUCAUUGAGCUCCUAGAAAAGAGCCGAUGAAGCAAUGCCCAGAGUGUAGCCGAUAAAAUUUAUUUUAUAAUCUCAUAUUCAUACCUGCCAGUGGGAAUCCUCUGGCUUUGCCACUUAUCCAUCCAUCCGUCCAUCCAUCCAUCCAUUCAUUAUUCAUUCAUUCAAC